GUUUUUGGCGGCUCGACGGGCGGGCGCAAGCCCGGCCGGUUCUCGCAAGAGGUGCCCGGAGACCAACCCGUCGAGCUGCCGCCCUC
rnacentral:antisense_RNA from 1 species